rnacentral:rRNA from 1 species
ACCCGCACAGCGGUGGAUCAUGUUGUUUAAUUCGAUGAUACGCGAAGAACCUUACCAGGUCUUGACACUCCCCGCGAUGCUUUAGAGAUAAAGCGGAGGUAGUUCGGGGAGACGAGGUGGUGCAUGGUUGUCGUCAGCUCGUGUCGUGAGAUGUUGGGUUAAGUCCCGCAACGAGCGCAACCCCUAUUGCCAGUUGCUAACAGGAGAGCUGAGCACUCUGGCGAGACUGCCGCCGACAAGGCGGAGGAAGGUGGGGAUGACGUCAAGUCAUCAUGGCCUUUAUGCCCAGGGCUACACACGUGCUACAAUGGCCGGCACAGACGGCAGCUUAGUGGCGACACUUGGCAAAUCCUCUAAAGCCGGUCCCAGUUCGGAUUGCAGUCUGCAACUCGACUGCAUGAAGCCGGAAUCGCUAGUAAUCGCAGAUCAGCCAAGCUGCGGUGAAUACGUUCCCGGGCCUU